rnacentral:rRNA from 1 species
AUUGAACGCUGCCGGCAGGACUAACACAUGCAAGUCGAACGAGUGGCGGACGGGUGAGUAAUGUCUGGGACACUGCCCGAUGGCGGGGGAUAUCUACUGGAAACGGUAGCUAAUACCGCGUCCAAUGGGAUGUGCCCAGCUGGGAUUAGCUUGUAGGUGAGGUAACGGCUCACCUAGGCGACGACCCCUAGCUGGUCUGAGAGGAUGACCAGCCACACUGGAACUGUGACACGGUCCAGACUCCUACGGGAGGCAGCAGUGGGGAAUAUUGCACAAUGGGCGCAAGCCUGAUGCAGCCAUGCCGCGUGUAUGAAGAAGGCCUUCGGGUUGUAAAGUACUUUCAGCGGGGAGGCGUUACCCGCAGAAGAAGCACCGGCUAACUCCGUGCCAGCAGCCGCGGUAAUUC